rnacentral:rRNA from 1 species
GAUGAACGCUAGCGGCGUGCCUAACACAUGCAAGUCGAACGUGAGAGGGUACUUGUAUCCUUGAAAGUGGCGGACGGGUGAGUAAGACGUAGGUGACCUGCCUUGAAGUGGGGGAUAACCAUUGGAAACGAUGGCUAAUACCGCAUAAGCUGGUGACGAUGGGAAUCGUUAACAGGAAAGCUUUAGUGCUUUGAGAGGGGCCUACGGCCGAUUAGCUAGUUGGUGAGGUAAAGGCUCACCAAGGCGAUGAUCGGUAGCUGGUCUGAGAGGACGAUCAGCCACACGGGAACUGAGACACGGUCCCGACUCCUACGGGGGGCAGCAGUGAGGAAUAUUCGGCAAUGGGGCGAACCCUGACCGAGCAACGCCGCGUGGAGGAUGACGGU